rnacentral:piRNA from 1 species
UGUACUCGCGUCGGAACCUGCAGACACUU